rnacentral:misc_RNA from 1 species
GGUACAAACAACAUGAUUUGAACCUUAGAUUUACUGAAAGUUUUGAUUUACAAACAAAAAUGUACAGACUCUUACAAAGAUUUUUUUUUUUUCCUUUUAAAAGAAAAAAAGAAUUACACAAGGCAGCAAAAUUAGAUGCCUACUGGGUAAACAUUUAAAUUCUGAUUCCAUUAUUAUGCAAGAAAAUUAAAAAAAAUUAGGACGCUUGUGAUCUGUAAUAUACAAAUACAGUAUUUAGAGCAAAAUAGAAUCUGUAAUUCUGAAGUUGAUGUUCACUUGAGAAAGAACUUCCAAACAUCUCUCUCAGUCAUCUCCUUCACUAAAUGGGCUCCAAAAAUGCCCUCUUCAUCUACCAGACCUUUCAGGUGUCUUGCUCCAUUAUUGAAACCAACAUAAUUUCUCUUUGUUGCCAAGUAUAAUACUCCAUAUGGGGGCCUCAAGCACUAGUUUUUCCAAAAAUAAAUAAGUAAAUAAAAUUAAAAAUAACACAAUAUUAAUAAUCCAAAUUUUGAUUUGUAAAACAUCGUUCGCAGGCAGUCAUCUAUCUAUAUCUAUCAUGCAUGUAAAUUUUCAACUUAAUCAGAUACUAACAAGGGUAAUAUCUAAAUGUUUCUUAAAAUCAAAGUUUUUACAUUAUGAGCAGAAGAUCAGGAUCAAAAUUGUUUAACAAAAUAAAAUACUAACUAGACAAUAGCAUCAAAUCCAGAGAUUGAUUUUAGGUAAGUUCAACCAUAAAAGAUAGCAAAGGGUAGGGAUAAAAAUUGCAGGCAUCAACAGAGCUCAGCUGCACACACAAGUGAGCUCCCCAUUCCAGCAUUUGUCAGUAUGCUACUGACACUAUCAUUAAUGUAUUAUUAAAAUGUAAAACCUAACAAUUUACUUGUUCAUUGUAUCAUUGUUCUGUUAUUGUCACAGCAACUUCACUGAACUUGCAUAACUUUUCAUCAAGUUCUGAAAGCUUGGUCAUCAGGAAAUCAACCAACUACAUACAGUAUUUUCAAUGAUUCACAAAUUCAUUACAAAUUUGCCUCAAAAUGUGAAUGAAGUCCAAGUUUAUCCUUCUGAGACUUAUCCCAAAUAAAGAAAUUUAUUUUCCCUCUGCUCUCUCAAAUUCCAUGUUAUAUGUCUUGUCACCUUAGUCAAUGAAUUGCUAAUGCAGAUGGUGCUUUCCAUAUAAACAAAACAAAAGGAUCAUGCAUCAGGAAGCCAACCAACCUUUUUAAUGAGAGCAUAUAGCUUCUUCAAAGAGGUCACUGAGUAGGGGAUAUCUGUCAUCAGAAUAACAUCAUACCCGCCUUCACCAUGAUCUGUCUCACUAGCCCUCUCCCAUGCACGGCUUCCAGAAAGCUUUCUUGAUCGCCUUGAGGAAGUUUCCUGAACUAUGAUGCUACCAUCUACGCUACUACAUCCAUCCAUGAAAUCCUCCUCAGAGAAGCUCAGGCUCAUCCCUGUUGUCACUUCAAAGGCAUCAUUCCUCACAACAGAUAAGACUGAUGGAAGUUCUUCCCAGUCUCCAGCAUAGAAAUGCACUGAUGGGGAAAGAGGAUAUCUUGAUGGAGUAAGAGGGCUCUCUGGCUGUCGGCUCUGGCUGUCCCGAGCUUGCUCAAGAUUAGCAAGGACAUUUGGUAUAGUUGUGCACCUUAUGGUUUCUGCAUUCAGGUCUUGGAAGUGAACCACACAAGCUCCCUGUGAAACAGCUAGUUAGCUUCAACUGACACAAUUUCAAUUAAGUUAUCAUAAAAAGUCUUUGAGAAAAGAUAAAAGAAGCCGGAGAAAAAAAAAAAAAUCAGUCUCAUUCAAUUCAUUGGUCUGUACUCUACAAGGAUAGGAAUAACUUUCAAAUCACACAAUUCAAGCUUAAAAAAGGCCUGACCUACUCAGAUUUAAAGGGAUUGCAGAAGGGAAUAUCAGAUAGUUUUAUUUGAAUUAUAUGUGUUGCACAAGUGCUUUCAAAUACGAAACAGGAUCUGAACCAUAUUAGCUAUCUAUAUCAGAAAUUGGGAUGGUCAUAUGGCUUUCCAUCUUAAGAGGAACUUAGUAAAACAAGUGGUUUACAGGCAAAUGGUACUUGAUAUUCAAGACAAUAUGGAAACCUCCAUAUUUCAACAAAUAUUCAAGACAACGAGUUGCCCCCACAAAAAAUAAAAAGCUUUGAAUUUUCUAGCAGUCACAAGCUAGUUAAAGUUAACAAGCCAGAUACAACAAGAAAUAAGCCACUGUCUUCACAUUUUUUGACAUAAUAAUAACUUAAGAAUUAAUGCACAAUAGGAGGAAUGUUGUGAUAUGGUCAAUGGCAUAUACCUUGAGGCAAGCAAAAAUUCCUGGAAGACCAUAGCCACAACCAAGCUCAAGUACCCUCUUGCCUCUAAAACUCAGUUGUCCAUCGCGAAUCUCAUGCUUAAGGACAUUUACAAGAUCAAUAGAGUUGUCCCAAGAUUUCACAGACCCAUCAGGCUUUGCAGAUAUCAUUUCAGAACCAGUGAACCCAAUAAUAUCAGCAACACUAAUUCUUCCCUUGAACACAUUAAGCCCUUGCAUUUCUACAUUAUCCUCAGCAUACUUAUAAGGGUGCGCCAUCUUUGAGGGGAGAAUCUCAACUGCAUGAGAAGGGAGAUGCACAUCUCUAUCUGAGACAUUGGUGAUGCUGUGACUGGCUCGGUCAUGAGGCAACAAGCCAGGUAAACACUGUGAAAGCAAUGAUGGUGCACGCAUUGUGCCUUAAUUCUUAAAAGAAGAGUUUUUGAGCAAGAACACAACCCAGAAAGAAGAAGAGAAAGGAUAGUGAUUUAUGAGCAGGAAUUUCACUAUGGAAAAAUUGAUUGCCACAAAUAACCCUUUUAUAUUACAAGGUGUACAAACUAAAGAAGAUCAAGGAAAAUCUGCAAUUUCAGAGAAAACAGCGUUUACAUUUAGAGUAAAAAAAAU